rnacentral:lncRNA from 1 species
CUGCAGCUGCCAGCCACAGCCACAGCCACAGCAGUGAGGGAUCCAAGCCGUGUCUGUGACCUACACCACAGCUCACGGCAACGCCGGAUCCUUAACCCAGUGAGCGAGGCCAGGGAUUGAACCCAAGUCCUCAUGGAUACUAGUUGGGUUCAUUAACCACUGAGCCAGAAUGGGAACUCCUCUAGCAAGUUUUUCUUUAAAUUUCCCCAGAUUCUGUUUCUGGAGCAAAGGACCGAGAGACAGGGGUGAAAAAUGACUUGCUUCUCACUGUCCAUCCUUCUGUAUCUUUUGACUUGUAUGAUUUACAUUUAAAAAUUAAAUUAAAUACAGCAGAAAUUGAGAGAACAUUGUAAAUCAACUAUACUUUAAUGAAAAAUUAAUUUAAAUAAAAGAUGGAAAUAAUGCACUGUGUCUAUAAUAAACAAUAGCAAUCAAAACAUAAUAAACAUUUAAAACUGAAUUUUAAUCUCACGGGUCAAGGCCUUGUCUGGGGUAAGAAGAUGCCCAAAGGCAACUUAUAACCUGAUACCCACAGGGGCCAGAAUAUACCAUGGACAGGCAGAGUCAUGCUUUUUCCUAAGAUCAUGGGGAAAACUUCCAAAUCCAGCCAGGGGGUCACCUCUGAAGGGACUGACCACCCAUUGGUGUAAACAUUCUCAAAGCCAUUUGCAGUCAUGUUCUAUGGAAGGAAAUGACCUCGAUUUGGAAGCCCGAGGCAUGCAUUUCCCUUGGCAUUGGAGGUAUUCAGGCCUCUGGGUGACUCAUCUUCCCUGCUGGGCUUGCCCUCCAACCCAGAUUAGGUGGAACACCUCAUUUGGGAGCAAAAGCGCUCUCUCGACCCUAAGGCCUUACGUGGACACCCUCUAGCCCCGGCCCAUCCAGCCAAUCCACACCCAGACCUCUCCAAAGCCCAGGAUGCCUCUGGCCUUGGACAGCCUUCCUGCUUCCACCCCUGGGGCCACAGUCUGAACGGACCAGCGCAGCUCUACACAGGAGGCCCCCAUUCGGCAGACGAAGGAGGGCAGCUAAGACAUCACGGCCCAAGCCCACGUUGUCCCCGGUGUCUACUGUCACGUCUUUGCUGCCUGUGGCAGUGAUCUGACAGCUCCGGUUGUCCUUCACAAAUGAUGAAGGCAGGCAGGAGAGAGACUGACCUUUGGGGCAUGGGCUUUAACUGCCUCAUCCUGGAAGUGACCCAUGUCCCUGUCACACAAUCUCAGGGCCAGAACUCCUUGGUCAGGGCCCCACUCAAGCAAAAGCGAGCAGGCCAGUGCUGGGGAGAAGCAUUGGGGGAGCAUCGCCGUGUCUGCCACGUUCUGCCUGUUCAGCCUUUUGGCCGAUAUUAAUUGACUCUGGAAUCAGAGAACAUUAGAAAGAGAGAGCCCUUGGGACUCACUUCAUCCAAAAAACAAAUCAGAAUCCUUGGAGGUUGUUGUCCAAAACGCAGAAUCCUUGGUCCUACCCCAGACCCACUGGAUCUGAUAGCCUAGGACAGGAGGCCAGGGAAUCUACAUGAUUCAAAGCUCACCAGGAGAUCCCAGCAGCAGCCAGGCUGGGGACCUACUGAUAGAGUCAAACCCCAUUUUGUUUUAUUUGAUUUUAUUUUUGCAGCCACACCUGCAGCAUAUGGAAGUUCCCAGGCCAGGGACUGAAUCAGCUACAGCUACCAGCCUACACCACAGCUACAGCCACACCAAUGCCAGAUUUGAGCCACAUCUGCAACCUACACCACAGCUUGCAACGACACCAGAUACUUAACCCACUGAGCAAGGACAGGGAUUGAACCCGCAGCUUCACAGAGACCUCGUCUGGUUCUCAACUCACUGAGCCAUAAUGGGAACUCUAAGCCCCCUUUUAUAGAAGAGGAAACUAAGGCUCAGAAGAACAGUGGCUCUCUAAAGGGCACAUAGAGAAGAAGAGUCAGAGCUUGGACCAGAAAUCUAGGCUUCCUGACCCAGGCUCUUAACACCUGUAGUGUCACCUGCAGUCUCUGCCAAACCUGGCUUCUGAUCACAGCACUUCAGUUCUCUUUCAGGGAGACACCAGUUCCUGUGGCUCCAGUGGGGCUGGCCCACCCAAGUCAGGGGUGGGCACAAGACGAAGAACUAACCAAUCAGGAUCUGUUUCGAGAUGGUCAGAGAUCAAGUCCAGAAAGUGGGAGGCAGCCCCAGGAUGUUUGCUGGAACCCCUUUUUUUUUUUUUUAGGCCCACACCCAUAGCAUAUGGAAUUUCCCAGGCUAGGGGUCGAAUCGGAGCUGUAGCUGCCACAGCCACAGCAAUGUGGGAUCCAAGCCGCAACUGCGACCUACACUACAGCUCAUGGCAACACCGGAACCCUUAACCCAUUGAGCAAGGCCAGGGAUCAAACCUGGGUCCUCAUGGAUACUGGUCGUGUUCGUUCACUGCUGAGCUACGUUGGGAACUCCCUUUCUGACUGUCUUUGCAUAUCAACAAGUGCUAGAGGGGUUGUGGAGAAAAGGGAACCCUCCUGCACUGCUGGUGGGAAUGUAAACUGGUACAGCCACUAUGGAGAACAGUUUGAAGAUACCUUAGAAAUCUAUACAUAGAACUUCCAUAUGACCCUGCAAUCCCACUCUUGGGCAUAUAGCCAGACAAAAGUUUCUUUAAAAAAGACGCAUGCACCCACAUGGUCAUUGCAGCACUAUUCACAAUAGCCAAGACGGGGAAACAACCCAAAUGUCCAUCAACAGACGAUUGGAUUAGAAAGAUGUGGUAUAUAUACACCAUGAAAUACUACUCAGCCAUAAAAAAGAACGACAUAAUGCCAUUUACAACAGCAUGGAUGGAACUAGAGACUCUCAUACUGAGUGAAAUAAGUCAGAAAGACAAAGACAAAUACCAUAUGAUAUCACUUAUAACUGGAAUCUAAUAUACAGCACAAAUGAACCUUUCCAUGGAAAAGAAAAUCAUGGACUUGGAGAAUAGACUUGUGGCUGCCCUCAGGGAGAGGAAGGGAGUGGGAGGCAUCCAUCAGGAGCUUGGGGUUAUCGGAUGCAACUUGGAAUGGAUUUACAAUGAGAUCCUGCUGAGUAGCGUUGAGAACUAUGUCUAGAUACUUAUGUUGCAACAGAACAAAAGGCGGGAAAAAAAAUGUAUACAUGUAAGUGUAACUUGGUCCCCAUGCUGUACAGCGGAAAAAAAAUAAAAUAAAAUAAAAUUUUAAAAGAUUUGCUUGUGAUAGAGAAAGAAAGGAAGGAAGGAAGGAAGAUACCACACCUGUGACCCUAAAAAAAAUAAGAAAUAAUAAAGGACUUCAUACCAAUAAAGUGCUCAGAACAGUGCCUGAAACAAAGUAAGUGCUUUAUAAAGUUAGCUAUUAUUCUUUUCCUACUAGUCACUUUGGACCCAGGCUAAAUGAGAGCAGAAAAAUGAUGACUCUUUCUUCUCUACGUCUCUCUUUCUUCAAGUCUCAACAGCCUAAAGACACUGGACUGUGUACUUCCAGCCGCAGGGUGGGCUAGUGCAAAAGAAGACUGUCAUAGCCAGUCCGAGGGGGGCUUGAACCCAGCCCCUCCAGCUGCAGCUGUGCAACUUCGGGUCAAUUCCUUUACCUCUCUGUGCCAGAUUUUCCUCCUCUAUAAAAAUGGGUAAACUACUGCCUGUCUCCCAGGUGAAGUGAGGGUUAAGAAUGGAGUGCCUGCCCACAUCCGUCCCUCUCUUCGGGGAUCCGUGGCGGGGCCCCAGGGCCAUCCCUUCCUUCACUUCCCAGGCUGCUCCUGGUUUGCAAAGGACCAGAGAAAUGUCUCCAAGGACCGCUGCUUCGGUCCACGUGACCGGGACGAGCAUCCUUAACAAAAGGCCACCCAUCCUCCAAGGUUUGCGGAAUCGCCUUCUCCCUCCUUUCGGGGCCUCUAAUGGGGAUCAGGGAGAUGCCUAGGGCGAUAAAUAAAGCAGGAGCAAAAAUAAAACCCAAAAAGUGUUUAUUUUGGGCUGAGAGUGCAUUGCUCAACACUACCCCAAGGUCUUGUGUACAGAAACCACAUGCCGGGUGCUCUGGAAUGUCACCAGCUGGGGCCUGGGCUCCAGCAGCUGGGCUGGGCCCCAGGAGGCAGGGCCAGGACUCGGCCCCUGGCAGUCCUCCCAGGCGCCCUGGUACCUUCGCAUCCAGGAGUUUGCAACCUCUCCCACUGAAGCCCACACAGCCUGGGCCACCCUCACUGACACUCUGCCUCAGCCCCUCGCCUCUGCAGGGCCCCUCUGCCCACCCCACCCACCUUAGUCCCACUAACUCCAACUCAUCCUUUUUUUUUUUUGGCCAAACCCGCAGUAUGUGGAAGUUUCCAUGCCAGGGAUCAAACCCAUGCCCUAGCAGCAACUCAGACCAUGGCAAUGGUGAGAGUGAUCCUUAACCUGCUGAGCCAUCGGUGAACUCCACCCCCAACUCAUACCUUAACCCUGUGUUUAGACACCAUCUCUGCUGGCAAUCCUCCGCUAACCUCACCCCGCCACCCAGACCCCCACAACUCCCCCAUUUCAUCGCUGUCACAGCAACCCUGCAAUGCAUUGCUGGGCAUUCGUUGUGCACUUGCUUCUCUGUUCUAAGCUGCAAGUGCUUGAGCGUAGGAGAGUAUAAUGGUGAAGGGUGUGGAUUUGGAACCCAGUUGCCAUGGUUUGAUUUCCAACUUCGCAGCCGUGUGGCCCCGGCUAAGUUAAUCCAUCUCUUAUGCCUCAGUAGCUCCUUCUGUAAGAUCCUGGUGAUAGGAUGAUAGUGACAGUGUCUGACAUAUGAGGACUCUGCCAGUUGCUGCAUCUGUCUCUUUUGCAUUCUAGAACCGGGGAAAUAACCACGGGAUGGGUUUUGAGGACCUACUUAACCAAGCAUGGGACAGACCUGAGCAAACACUCCAUUGAUCACCUGACCUGCGUAAGCCCUUACUCUGAUGGUGGACCACAGGGACUUUUUUUUUUUUUGGCCAUGCCCAUGGCAUGCAGAAGCUCCGGGUCCAGAGAUCCAACCCAGCCACAGCAGUCACAACACGGGACCCUCAACCUGCUGCACCAAUGGGGAACUCCCACAGAGGUAUCUUGGGUCUCCAGGAACGAGGGUCAAUUCAGAGCCAGAAAAGUCUGAUUAUUGCCAUUGCCCUAACUCGCAGUCACCCUGGCAAACAGCUGGAAGUCCCUUUGGGGAAGGGUGGGACAAAGGAGCAGAGGAUAACUUUUUGACGGUAUAGCGGGGUCCCUCCAAGACUCCUUACUUGUUUUAAGUUUUCCUGUUUCCCUGAUCCC